rnacentral:rRNA from 1 species
UACGGAGGGUGCGAGCGUUAUUCGGAAUUACUGGGCGUAAAGCGCGUGUAGGCGGCAGGGCAAGUCUGGUGUGAAAGCCCGGGGCUCAACCCCGGAAGUGCAUUGGAAACUGCUCUGCUUGAGUACCGGAGAGGAAGGGGGAAUUCCCGGUGUAGCAGUGAAAUGCGUAGAUAUCGGGAGGAAUACCAGUGGCGAAGGCGACCUUCUGGACGGUUACUGACGCUGAGACGCGAAAGCGUGGGGAGCAAACAGG